GCUGAAUUAGUUUAUAAAAAAUAUCUGACUUGUAAUCAGAAGCUGACUUGUGUCAUUUAGCU
rnacentral:tRNA from 1 species